rnacentral:rRNA from 1 species
UAGGGAAUCUUCGGCAAUGGACGAAAGUCUGACCGAGCAACGCCGCGUGAGUGAAGAAGGUUUUCGGAUCGUAAAACUCUGUUGUUAGAGAAGAACAAGGACGUUAGUAACUGAACGUCCCCUGACGGUAUCUAACCAGAAAGCCACGGCUAACUACGUGCCAGCAGCCGCGGUAAUACGUAGGUGGCAAGCGUUGUCCGGAUUUAUUGGGCGUAAAGCGAGCGCAGGCGGUUUCUUAAGUCUGAUGUGAAAGCCCCCGGAUCAACCGGGGAGGGUCAUUGGAAACUGGGAGACUUGAGUGCAGAAGAGGAGAGUGGAAUUCCAUGUGUAGCGGUGAAAUGCGUAGAUAUAUGGAGGAACACCAGUGGCGAAGGCGGCUCUCUGGUCUGUAACUGACGCUGAGGAUCGAAAGCGUGGGGAGCAAACAGG